rnacentral:rRNA from 1 species
AGCAGCCGCGGUAAUUCCAGCUCCAAUAGCGUAUAUUAAAGUUGUUGCAGUUAAAAAGCUCGUAGUUGAAUUUCGGGAUCAAUAUGUCGGUCGUGCCUCGGUACGUACUGGCGUAAUUGGUUUCUCCCUUCUGAAGAACCUCGAUGUCAUUAAUUUGGUGUCGUGUGGAAUCAGGACUGUUACUUUGAAAAAAAUUAGAGUGUUUAAAGCAGGCUCGCGCUUGAAUACAUUAGCAUGGAAUAAUGAAAUAGGACGUUUGAUUCUAUUUUGUUGGUUUCUAGGAUCGACGUAAUGAUUAAUAGGGAUAGUUGGGGGCAUUAGUAUUCAAUUGUCAGAGGUGAAAUUCUUGGAUUUAUUGAAGACUAACUACUGCGAAAGCAUUUGCCAAGGAUGUUUUCAUUAAUCAAGAACGAAAGUUAGGGGAUCGAAGACGAUCAGAUACCGUCGUAG